rnacentral:rRNA from 1 species
UAGGGAAUCUUCGGCAAUGGACGAAAGUCUGACCGAGCAACGCCGCGCGAGUGAAGAAGGUUUUCGGAUCGUAAAACUCUGUUGUUAGAGAAGAACAAGGACGUUAGUAACUGAACGUCCCCUGACGGUAUCUAACCAGAAAGCCACGGCUAACUACGUGCCAGCAGCCGCGGUAAUACGUAGGUGGCAAGCGUUGUCCGGAUUUAUUGGGCGUAAAGCGAGCGCAGGCGGUUUCUUAAGUCUGAUGUGAAAGCCCCCGGCUCAACCGGGGAGGGUCAUUGGAAACUGGGAGACUUGAGUGCAGAAGAGGAGGGUGGAAUUCCAUGUGUAGCGGUGAAAUGCGUAGAUAUAUGGAGGAACACCAGUGGCGAAGGCGGCUCUCUGGUCUGUAACUGACGCUGAGGAUCGAAAGCGUGGGGAGCAAACAGG